rnacentral:misc_RNA from 1 species
AAAAUAUUGUAAAAAUAAUUAUACAAAAAUAUGGGGAGAGGAUAAAAAAAGAACCAUGAAUAUGUUCACUAUCAACUAACUUUAUAAUCUGUCAUUAGUUGACACAAAAUCAUGGGGAGAAAGUUGAAGUUGUAGGAGUAGUUGUAAUUUUCUUCUCAUUGAUUAUCUCCACAACAGACUCUUGUGGUCCGGUCCAUUCUCCGAACCCCGCGUAUAGUGGGAGCUUAGUCCAUCGAGCUGCCCUUUUUUUUUUAUUUAUGAUUUUCACAACAGCAGUAUUGACAAUAAGCGAAGCAACCUAAACAUCCAAAGGCACCUAGACAUUGUGUGAGUGCAAUUGCACACUGAUGAUUCAUAUUCGAACACGCUGUAAUGCAGCAACUGCAACAGCAGCAUAGACCACACAACUUCCCAAAACAAUUAGACGUUGCUUUUGCAAUAAUCUCUGCUUCGUCCUCUUUAUCGAUGGCUCCAGGAGGAAUAUUCUCAAUUGUAGCAGUGAGAUUACCAAAACCGAAGCCUGGGUAUUGUAGUAAUAUUGUCUUCUGUAUUAAGCGUUCUUCUAUCUUCUCAUCAUCACAAUGAACCUUCCUCUUUGUGGUUGACUUAAUGAUUUUCACUUUUUCCGCCUCCACCAAUGCCAUGCGUGUAUACUCAGAGAUGACGGCGUCUUGUAUACUCAUUUUUGCUAUCUUUUUUUCAAGAUCCUUAUUUUGUGUAAACCAUGCCUGAGCUGUGAGUAUUUCAAUCUGCUGCUUCACCCUUGCCUUGUCAAGAGGUAUGGCUUUGGACUUGAAACCUUUCAGCUCCACCG